CCUGACUGCUAUCGGAUUGAUACUAAGCCAUGCUAGUCUUUGUAGUAAUACAAGGCAUACGGCUCAGUAACGCGUAGUCAACCUACCCUAUGGACGGGGAUAAUCUCGGGAAACUGAGCAUAAUACCCGGUAGACCACUUAUCCUGGAAUGGUUAGUGGUUAAAAUGAUUCGUCGCCAUAGGAUGGGACUGCGGCCUAUCAGCUUGUUGGUGAGGUAAUGGCCCACCAAGGCGAUUACAGGUACGGGCUCUGAGAGGAGAGGCCCGGAGAUGGGUACUGAGACAAGGACCCAGGCCCUAUGGGGCGCAGCAGGCGAGAAAACUUUGCAAUGUGCGAAAGCACGACAAGGUUAAUCCGAGUGAUUUCUGCUAAAGGAAUCUUUUGUUAGUUCUAAAAAUACUAGUGAAUAAGGGGUGGGCAAGUUCUGGUGUCAGCCGCCGCGGUAAAACCAGCACCUCAAGUGGUCAGGAGGAUUAUUGGGCCUAAAGCAUCCGUAGCCUGUUCUAUAAGUUUGCGGUUAAAUCUAUACGCUCAACGUAUAGGCUGCCGUAAAUACUGUAGAACUAGGGAGUGGGAGAGGUAGACGGUACUCGAUAGGAAGGGGUAAAAUCCUUUGAUCUAUCGAUGACCACCUGUGGCGAAGGCGGUCUACCAGAACACGUUCGACGGUGAGGGAUGAAAGCUGGGGGAGCAAACCGGAUUAGAUACCCGGGUAGUCCCAGCUGUAAACGAUGCAGACUCGAUGAUGCAAUGGCAUAGAGCUAUUGCAGUAUCGCAGGGAAGCCGUUAAGUCUGCCGCCUGGGAAGUACGUACGCAAGUAUGAAACUUAAAGGAAUUGGCGGGGGAGCACCACAAGGGGUGAAGCCUGCGGUUC
rnacentral:rRNA from 1 species